GAUCCUGGCUCAGGAUGAACGCUAGCGAUAGGCCUAACACAUGCAAGUCGAGGGGCAUCACAUGAAGUAGCAAUACGGAUGGUGGCGACCGGCGCACGGGUGAGUAACACGUAUGCAACCUGCCUUCAACAAGGGGAUAACCCGUUGAAAGACGGACUAAUACCCUAUAACACAGGGGUCCCGCAUGGGAAUAUUUGUUAAAGGACAACCGGUUGAAGAUGGGCAUGCGUUCCAUUAGCUAGUUGGUGAGGUAACGGCUCACCAAGGCGACGAUGCGUAGCCGACCUGAGAGGGUGAUCGGCCACAUUGGAACUGAGACACGGUCCAGACUCCUACGGGAGGCAGCAGUGGGGAAUAUUGCGCAAUGGGGGAAACCCUGACGCAGCAACGCCGCGUGAAUGAUGAAGGCCUUCGGGUUGUAAAGUUCUGUCUUCUGGGACGAUAAUGACGGUACCAGAGGAGGAAGCCACGGCUAACUACGUGCCAGCAGCCGCGGUAAUACGUAGGUGGCAAGCGUUGUCCGGAUUUACUGGGCGUAAAGGAUGCGUAGGCGGACAUUUAAGUCAGAUGUGAAAUACCCGAGCUUAACUUGGGUGCUGCAUUUGAAACUGGGUGUCUAGAGUGCAGGAGAGGUAAGUGGAAUUCCUAGUGUAGCGGUGAAAUGCGUAGAGAUUAGGAAGAACACCAGUGGCGAAGGCGACUUACUGGACUGUAACUGACGCUGARGCAUGAAAGCGUGGGGGAGCAAACAGGAUUAGAUACCCUGGUAGUCCACGCCGU
rnacentral:rRNA from 1 species